rnacentral:rRNA from 1 species
UACAGAGGGUGCAAGCGUUAAUCGGAAUUACUGGGCGUAAAGCGUGUGUAGGUGGUGAGGUAAGUUAGAUGUGAAAUCCCCGAGCUCAACUUGGGAAUUGCGUUUAAAACUGCCUUGCUAGAGUGUUGUAGAGGAUAGUGGAAUUUCCAGUGUAGCGGUGAAAUGCGUAGAUAUUGGAAGGAACACCAGUGGCGAAGGCGACUAUCUGGACAAAUACUGACACUGAGACACGAGAGCAUGGGGAGCAAACAGG